rnacentral:tRNA from 1 species
GGCCCCAUCGUCUAGCGGUUAGGACACCAGCCUCUCACGUUGGGAACACGGGUUCAAUUCCCGUUGGGGUCG